CAGCCGCCGCGGUAAUACGAGGGGGGCAAGCGUUGUUCGGAAUUAUUGGGCGUAAAGGGUGCGUAGGCGGUUCAGCAAGUCUCGUGUGAAAUCUUCGGGCUCAACCCGAAGUCUGCACGGGAAACUACUGGGCUUGAGUAAUGGAGAGGUGAGUGGAAUUUCCGGUGUAGCGGUGAAAUGCGUAGAUAUCGGAAGGAACACCUGUGGCGAAAGCGGCUCACUGGACAUUUACUGACGCUGAUGCGCGAAAGCGUGGGGAGCAAACAGGAUUAGAUACCCCGGUAGUCCCUGUCUCUUAUAA
rnacentral:rRNA from 1 species